GAGUUUGAUCAUGGCUCAGAUUGAACGCUGGCGGCAGGCCUAACACAUGCAAGUCGAGCGGAUGACGGGAGCUUGCUCCUUGAUUCAGCGGCGGACGGGUGAGUAAUGCCUAGGAAUCUGCCUGGUAGUGGGGGACAACGUUUCGAAAGGAACGCUAAUACCGCAUACGUCCUACGGGAGAAAGCAGGGGACCUUCGGCCUUGCGCUAUCAGAUGAGCCUAGGUCGGAUUAGCUAGUUGGUGGGUAAUGGCUCACCAAGGCGACGGAUCCGUAACUGGUCUGAGAGGAUGAUCAGUCACACUGGAACUGAGACACGGUCCAGAC
rnacentral:rRNA from 1 species